UCGCGGCUUAUCACCGGCAGUCUCCUUAGAGUGCUCAACUAAAUGGUAGCAACUAAGGACGGGGGUUGCGCUCGUUGCGGGACUUAACCCAACAUCUCACGACACGAGCUGACGACAGCCAUGCAGCACCUGUGUUACGGCUCUCUUGCGAGCACUCCCUGAUCUCUCAAGGAUUCCGUACAUGUCAAGGGUAGGUAAGGUUUUUCGCGUUGCAUCGAAUUAAUCCACAUCAUCCACCGCUUGUGCGGGUCCCCGUCUAUUCCUUUGAGUUUUAGUCUUGCGACCGUACUUCCCAGGCGGUGUGCUUAACGCGUUAGCUGCGUUACUAAGAGCGGUAAGGCUCCCAACAACUAGUUGACAUCGUUUAGGGCGUGGACUAC
rnacentral:misc_RNA from 1 species